ACAACUGGAUUGGGAAAGGGAGAGGAGGAACCGAAUCGGGAGGCCAUCUACGUGGUCCAGGCAGGCCUGGCAAGAGCAGGAAGAGUCCUAGUGGGAAAAGGAGCAUGAUAGAAGCCACCUGUGUCUCAGGGGACCCCUGGGGUCAAGAUCAACUUUGAAGUAGGAGGAUCUGGCUGUGUUGGGGGAGGGGGACAGGCUUCAGUUCAGUUUCAAAAUUUUAAAAUACGACCUUCAGCUGCUCCCUUCCCCAGCAUGCAGAAACACACUCACUGGCCACCCGAAGUCCCCCAGGCUGUGCUGGGUCAGGGAAGUCAGGCCACACACACGUGUUAAAUAGCGUAUGCAUGUCUGGCCCUGUACCCUCCCUGCUCUCGGGGAGUCAGGCAAACCACAGCACAGGAGCGAGGACCAAGGGCUGUGGCAGGUCACCAAAUCUGGGGCCAUUUCAUCAAACAAAAGGCCCCCAGGGGCUGAGGGCUUCCCAGAGGAGAUGGCCCCUGGGCUGGACCAGGGAGGUUGGGCAGGACUAGGCGGGAGGCUGCCAGCUCCAUCCUAUGGGAGCAGGCCUCCAAAGCCACUCCGGGGAGCUGCCCCUUGGCGUGCCGUGCUGAGGCCCCACUGCCCAGCACACAGACAUCCUCUUCCUCCAAGGGGCCCCUCAAGACAAUAGACUUGGCAUUCCAGGUCGCCUGCCUGUGUCAUGAGUCAGAAUCCCCAUGGUGCCCAUGGCCUCCCUGCCUUUCUUUUUUCUCAGGCUGUGUUUAUUUAUAGUGCCAUUCCGGUACCUUCCGAAGCUAUCUGUCUGAUCCUUUUAGGGAUCAAUUGCAAAGAGACCUUGGUAUUGGGCAGCUUUUUAGUCAUUUAAUGCAAAUCGCCACACUGCUUUGCAGGUCAGGUUUUAAUGAUCUGGAAUCGAUCCAAGCUAAGUGGCUUUUGAUCUUGCUGCAGAGUGAAGAUGCCCCACAGAAGCCAGGAGCCGCUAGGCCACAUGCUCCUUAUUAGAGCUGAUGGCUUGAUUCUUGCUGCAUUUUUUAGUCUGUUUCAGAGUGAUUUUUCCUUUGUGUUUGAGUGUGUGGUUUUUUUUCUCCUAGGUAAUUUUGAGUGUGGAAAUCCAGAGAAUCUAAAAAGCAAAUGCAUUCCUGUUAUGGAAGCCCAAGAAUAUAUAGCCAAUGUGACCAGCAGCUCCUCCGCCAAGUUUGAAGCCGCACUGACCUGGAUACUGAGCAGUAACAAGGACGUGGGCAUCUGGUGAGUGUGGGCAGGGUAGCGACGCAGCAUGGGUGCCUGCAGCCACUGUCCUCGCUCGUCAGCUAACACCUGUGCUCCAACAGAGCUGUCUCAGGUCUGAAGCUGGAGGCUGGGUCUCCCAGCUGAGUCAUGUGGGUUAGGAUGGAAGUGGGGCAACAAAAGCAAGAAGCAUUUGGAAUGCAGUGUAUGGAGCAGCUUCAAGAUGAGACACAGAAUCCAAGUGUUAGGAUGUUAGCCUGGUGUUCCAGCUAAAUCCUGUCUCAGGUAACUCAGUCUGUGCCUUUCUCAUUCAUCAACAACGCCACAUGGUUUGUUGGGGAAGGUAUUUUUCUGCACUUCCCCUCCUCGGGAGCUAGUUUUUAUUUGUAGAUGAAAUUAUUCUUUCUAUAUGUUGGUUUUACUUACUAUGGAAAUCGCAUAAGGAAAUACUGGAUUUUAUUCUGACCAGGCAGUUUCUGCCUCAUUUUUAUCACUGGUGAGCACUGUUAGAAAAGGUAGCAAACCCUUUCAUGAGGCUGAAAGGCUGUAUCUGGCGGCUCAGCCCAGGGGGAGGGGUGUGUCAGCUAACAGCCAGGCAGCCUCGAGAGACCUGUCCCCUGCUGGAAGAACAGCAUCACCUCCCCACUUCCCACUCUCGGUGUUUGUGGGGGUCUCUGUUCAGGUUAUAGCUCUUGAUAUUAAAACAUCCUCUAGAAUUUUGUUCUUUUCCUCUCUAAUCCACCCAAAUUACUAAUUCCAUCAGCACUGCAUCCAGCAGAAGCCCCUCGGGCAGCUCAACCUCAAGCUGGAUAACUGGAUGCAUGGCACGAUUAAAAUUCGUUGGCUUAAAAAAAAAAAAAAGCUGCCCUGAGUAGCUGAGCAAUUUUCCUGUGUUAGAAAAGGCGGAGGAGAAUACGGAUUUUAUCCUCAGCAGCAGCGCUCACUGAAGCUGCUAACACAGAAGAAUGAUGACACUCACCUUUUCAUGUUGGGGAAGGCAGCCUGGAGGGUGGCAGAGCCGCUCAGGAUGACCAUAUUGAAAGUGGGUCCUGAGAAAUCAGGACACUUGGGAUGCCAGCCAUUCCAGCAUGCAGCCUCAAGAGCAUGAUAUUCUCGCCCUGGGUCACCUAGCUGGAAGAAGGCUCUGGUGUCCCCACCUCUGCAGGUCCUGACACCUCCUGGCCAGAGACCAUGGUGGAGGCGCCGUGGCUGGGGUCUGGCCUCAGAGAGCCUGGUGGUUUUCAUUCCCCAUGAGCCUCAUGGAUGCCCCAUGAUCUUUACGCUUAAACAGCUUAUGUGCCUCCUCGUCAUGGAGGAAAAGCGCAACCUCCCAGAUUCUGUCUUUCAGUUCUUGCCAUGCAAUUGCAAAGCUAGUGAUUCAGUAAACAUUUCCAUUUCUCUAUGCUGGGAGGUGGGAAUCCAAUUUACAGUUUAAUCUCCUGCACGCUGAGAGAGGCUGUCAAAGAUCUGACAGAGGGGGACGUCGUUUUAGUGGUAGGGGUUCAAGCCUGCUGCCGUCUGUAAAGCUUUAUUCAUUCUAAGUAGCCAAUGUGGGAAAUUUCUGGAAAGAGUGCAGCCGGGAUACCAAGCCUAUUCUGUAAGCAAGUAGAGGCCUUGCGUCCCCACUUUCCUUUGCUUCCUCCUGUUUGAAGUGGGGCUUGCGCUGCCUCUCCUUGGAGCUUUCCAACAUGUUUAGAGCCCUGUGUCCUGAUUCAGGUUGAAAGGAGAAGACCAGUCUGAAUUGGUGACGACGGUGGACAAGGUGGUCUGCCUGGAAUCUGCCCGCCCCCGCAUGGGUGUUGGCUGCCGCCUGAGCCGGGCCCUGCUCACUGCUGUCACCAACGUGCUCAUCUUCUUCUGGUGCUUGGCUUUUUUGUGGGGGCUCCUAAUUCUCCUAAAAUAUCGGUGGCGAAAGUUAGAAGAGGAGGAACAAGCCAUGUAUGAGAUGGUGAAGAAGAUUAUAGACGUGGUCCAGGACCAUUACGUGGACUGGGAGCAGGACAUGGAGCGCUAUCCAUAUGUAGGCAUUCUGCACGUGCGCGACAGCUUGAUCCCUCCACAGAGCCGGAGGCGCAUGAAGCGUGUCUGGGACCGAGCUGUGGAGUUCCUGGCCUCCAACGAAUCCCGGAUCCAGACAGAGUCCCACCGCGUUGCAGGAGAGGACAUGCUGGUGUGGAGAUGGACUAAGCCCUCUUCCUUCUCCGACUCAGAGCGAUAAGCCCCGGGCAGGGACUUGUUCCCGGUCAGCCUGUCCCAGGACAGCCCACUCCAGAGGCACGGGAGGGUCACCAGGCCUACUGGUGCUGAAUUCACACUUGCCUUGACUUUCAGUCUCGUCCUGACACGAUUCCAAAGGUCUGCCAGACUCUUCAGAGGAGUUCGGCUCGCAGGAAAAUGUGGGCUUCCUUUAAAGGGAGGGGGAGAAGCCAGGGUGACAGCCCAGACUCUGCCCUGUUUUGCUGGCAGAAACGGGGAGAAGGGUUUAGUUUUCAUGAAUAGAAAACAAGAGCAGCAGCUGUCAGGCCCAGCCGACAAGCAUGGGGCUGGUGGGCUGGGGCAUGGCCACGCCAGGGAGUCUGUCACCUGGGAGGUGGGGCAGGGAUGGCGUUUAGGGUGGCGGGAUGGGGAGCAGCUUGGUCCAUGUGCCUUCAGGGGGGUGUUACCUGGGAGCUCAAGGGUGAAGGGAGAAAGCCUGUGCUCUGGCUGGCUGGGCCUCUAUCCUGAAGAGGGAAGGUGCCAGAAAUUAGAGCAAGUGACUGUAGGGGGGACCGUCUAGAAACACCAGGCCCAGACACAGGGUCCCUCAGGUCAGGAGGAGUGAGCAGCCGGCACAGCCUCCUGGGAGGAUCCCGAAGUAGGGACAGGGGCUGAGAGCAGAGAGGAGGGUUGGGCAGCCCCAGGGUGGGCCCGCCUCAGUGUUGCUUCUCACAGAAGCUGCGACUCUAGACCAGGCCUGCAGCCAGAACGCCAAUUCCGGGAGCUUGGGAGCCCUGCGUCAGGGCCGAGAGCCUCGCACUUGCUGUGUGCGAAGAUCGCCUUGCUUUACUGUGACCACAGCCCCAACCCGGGGCUGUUUAACAAGAACUUCAGCGCAGCCGGCGUUUCUGUUACCCCGGCCGCGGCUCUUGGCGGCGGGAGAGGCGCAGUGGCCGCAGGCUGCCCCCUGCCGGCCACAAGGGAGCAGCGUCCGCGCCGCCGCCCACCGGCCCUCCCGCCAGCUCCUCAGCCCGCUCCCUGGGAGGCAGGCUCCAGAAGCACCCCGACGGGGGCCUUAUUAAGUGCGAGAAGCCUCUCCAGCGAGUCUUCCCCGUGUGUCCUCAUCUGCGGCAGGCAGGAGAGGGGGAGCAAACAGGAAAUUCCACAGCUGCCUCCAGAAACAUGAACCACCCCUCUCUGGUCUUAUUGGUAUUUUUUGUUUCCUUAAUAAAGCUCCAGUCUCCCUCAUUUGAGCAAUACUCUCAUUUCCUCUGAUGUCUGGAUGAUCGGCAGGGCAAGAAUCUGAGCGCUGGCCCCGUGGUGAGGCCAUGUUCUCAUAAUCAGGCUCCAGCCAGAAAAAUAAGAAACACCGCAACAGGCUUCAGUAUCAGGGCUGAAACUGCUGGAUGAAUAAACUAUUUAUU
rnacentral:sRNA from 1 species